GUUGGUGGGGUAAUGGCCUACCAAGACGAUGAUGUGUAGCUGGACUGAGAGGUCGAACAGCCACAUUGGGACUGAGACACGGCCCAAACUCCUACGGGAGGCAGCAGUAGGGAAUUUUCGGCAAUGGAGGAAACUCUGACCGAGCAACGCCGCGUGAACGAUGAAGUAUUUCGGUAUGUAAAGUUCUUUUAUUGAAGAAGAAAAAAUAGUGGAAAAACUAUCUUGACGUUAUUCAAUGAAUAAGCCCCGGCUAACUAUGUGCCAGCAGCCGCGGUAAGACAUAGGGGGCGAGCGUUAUCCGGAAUUAUUGGGCGUAAAGGGUGCGUAGGCGGUUAGGAAAGUCUAUAAUUUAAUUUCAGUGCUUAACGCUGUCUUGUUAUAGAAACUACCUUGACUAGAGUUAGAUAGAGGCAAGCGGAAUUCCAUGUGUAGCGGUAAAAUGUGUAAAUAUAUGGAGGAACACCAGAAGCGUAGGCGGCUUGCUGGGUCUUGACUGACGCUGAGGCACGAAAGCGUGGGUAGCAAACAGGAUUAGAUACCCUGGUAGUCCACGCCGUAAACGAUGAGUACUAAGUGUCGGGAUAAAACUCGGUACUGAAGUUAACACAUUAAGUACUCCGCCUGAGUAGUACGUACGCAAGUAUGAAACUUAAAGGAAUUGACGGGACUCCGCACAAGCGGUGGAUCAUGUUGUUUAAUUCGAAGAUACACGAAAAAUCUUACCAGGUCUUGACAUGCUCUGCAAAGCUAUAGAAAUAUAGUGGAGGUUAUCAGGGACACAGGUGGUGCAUGGUUGUCGUCAGUUCGUGUCGUGAGAUGUUAGGUUAAGUCCUAAAACGAGCGCAACCCUUGUCGUUAGUUACCAGCACGUAAUGGUGGGCACUUUAACGAGACUGCCAAUUAAACAUUGGAGGAAGGUGAGGAUUACGUCAAAUCAUCAUGCCCCUUAUGAUCUGGGCUACAAACGUGAUACAAUGGCUGUUACAAAGAGUAGCUGAAGCGCGAGUUUUUAGCCAAUCUCAAAAAAGCAG
rnacentral:rRNA from 1 species